rnacentral:rRNA from 1 species
GCCUACUGUAUAUACCGGAUUGACAUGUAUCUAAAUCUGCGAAUUUAAGCUGCCUAUCGCUCGGUUAGUACCAAGGUGGGGGACCACUUGGGAAUCCCGGGUGCUGUAGUUU